rnacentral:lncRNA from 1 species
AACCGAAACCGAAACCGAAACCGAAACCGAAACUGAAACCGAAACCCAAACCCAAACACAAACCGAAACCCAAACCCAAACCGAAACCGAAACCGAAACUCAAACCGGAACCGAAACCGAAACCGAAACCGAAACCGAAACCGAAAUCGAAACCGAAACCGAAACCGAAACCGAAACCGAAACCGAAACCGAAACCGAAACCGAAACCUAAACCCAAACCCAAACCCGAACCGAAACCGAAACCCAAACCCAAACCGAAACCGAAACCCAAACCCAAACCGAAACCGAAACCCAAACCCAAACCGAAACCGAAACC